AAGACCGGCCAAAGAGGGUGAAAGCCCCGUAAGCGAAAGAUAAGAAAGGACAGCAGUAUCCAGAGUACUACGAGACACGAGAAACCUUGUAGGAACGCGCGGGGACCACCCCGUAAGGCUAAAUACUCCUCAGUGACCGAUAGCGCAUAGUACUGUGAAGGAAAGGUGAAAAGGACCCCGGGAGGGGAGUGAAAGAGAACCUGAAACCCUGUGUUUAC
rnacentral:rRNA from 1 species